AACGAACGCUGGCGGCAUGCCUAACACAUGCAAGUCGAACGAGACCUUCGGGUCUAGUGGCGCACGGGUGCGUAACGCGUGGGAACCUGCCCUUAGGUUCGGAAUAACUCCCCGAAAGGGGUGCUAAUACCGGAUAAUGUCUUCGGACCAACGAUUUAUCGCCUUUGGAUGGGCCCGCGUUGGAUUAGCUAGUUGGUAGGGUAAAAGCCUACCAAGGCGACGAUCCAUAGCUGGUCUGAGAGGAUGAUCAGCCACACUGGGACUGAGACACGGCCCAGACUCCUACGGGAGGCAGCAGUGGGGAAUAUUGGAAAAUGGGCGAAAGCCUGAUCCAGCAAUGCCGCGUGAGUGAUGAAGGCAUUAGGGUUGUAAAGCUCUUUUACCCGGGAUGAUAAUGACAGUACCGGGAGAAUAAGCUCCGGCUAACUCCGUG
rnacentral:rRNA from 1 species